rnacentral:rRNA from 1 species
UACGUAGGGUGCGAGCGUUGUCCGGAAUUACUGGGCGUAAAGCGUGCGCAGGCGGCUUCGCAAGUCAGGCGUGAAAUCCCCGGGCUUAACCUGGGAAUGGCGUCUGAAACUACGGAGCUGGAGUGUGGCAGAGGGAGGUAGAAUUCCACGUGUAGCGGUGAAAUGCGUAGAUAUGUGGAGGAACACCGAUGGCGAAGGCAGCCCCCUGGGCCAACACUGACGCUCAGGCACGAAAGCGUGGGGAGCAAACAGG